rnacentral:rRNA from 1 species
AUGCAGUCGAGCGGAAGGCCCUUCGGGGUACUCGAGCGGCGAACGGGUGAGUAACACGUGAGCAACCUGCCCUAGGCUUUGGGAUAACCCCGGGAAACCGGGGCUAAUACCGAAUAGGACCUUCUGCCGCAUGGCGGAGGGUGGAAAGUUUUUCGGCCUGGGAUGGGCUCGCGGCCUAUCAGCUUGUUGGUGGGGUGAUGGCCUACCAAGGCGACGACGGGUAGCCGGCCUGAGAGGGCGACCGGCCACACUGGGACUGAGACACAGCCCAGACUCCUACGGGAGGCAGCAGUGGGGAAUAUUGCACAAUGGGCGGAAGCCUGAUGCAGCGACGCCGCGUGAGGGAUGACGGCCUUCGGGUUGUAAACCUCUUUCAGCAGGGACGAAGCGUAAGUGACGGUACCUGCAGAAGAAGCGCCGGCCAACUACGUGCCAGCAGCCGCGGUAAGACGUAGGGCGCGAGCGUUGUCCGGAUUUAUUGGGCGUAAAGAGCUCGUAGGCGGCUUGUCGCGUCGACUGUGAAAACCCGCAGCUCAACUGCGGGCCUGCAGUCGAUACGGGCAGGCUAGAGUUCGGUAGGGGAGACUGGAAUUCCUGGUGUAGCGGUGAAAUGCGCAGAUAUCAGGAGGAACACCGGUGGCGAAGGCGGGUCUCUGGGCCGAUACUGACGCUG